GAGAGAGAGAGAAAGAGAAAGAGAGAGAAAAAGAAGAGACCAUAUCAAUAAUAGAAUAUUGAUAGAAUAAUAUUUAAAUUGACCCCGUAAUCUCCUUUGUAAAAUAAAUCCAUUUCUCGCAAGGAUUAAACAUAAAAGCGUAGAAGCAAAAGACGCUUUUGCGUAAAAGGGGUGGGAGAUGGGGGAGGUCCUUGGUAGAGUCAUUUCUAUGUAUAUGUUAUAUGUUUCUUUUCUUUUUUGGACAUUUAGACACACAUAAUAUAACGAAGGCCAGCCGUUACGGCGUUUGGAAGCCGUCCCUUUGAAAUUCGAACGUUCAUUCCUACUCCGCCCACGGGUAUUCUAUUAUACUAGUUUAAAAGGAGCGCGACAGGAGCACGAUUGAAGUGGAAACUCGUUAUUACUGCCUGUUCUUCAGAAACCACCGUCGAUGGGUGUCAGCUUUCCCCUCUCGUUCUCAUUAUUUCUUAUCAAAAUGUGAAUGAGAAAAAAUUUUCAUUCGAUCCACGCCAGCCAUCUUGACUCUAUGGCGCAAGUUUUAAACCUUGAUCGUGCGAUUGCCAAAAGAAAGAAGGUGGACCAAAGUCGAAUUGGAAAAAAAAAUGAUAACGGGCAAUAUCUUCUUCUCGUGAUGUUUCUUCCUACGGUACGACGCCACCGUGAACGCGUUUCGCUCGAUUAGGAGCUGCGCCAUGAUGAAAAUGCAGCUAAUAUAAAUUGGC